rnacentral:rRNA from 1 species
UACGUAGGGGGCUAGCGUUGUCCGGAAUCAUUGGGCGUAAAGAGCGCGCAGGCGGCUUGGCAAGUCGGGUGUGAAAUCCCGGGGCUCAACCCCGUGACUGCAUCCGAUACUGUCAGGCUAGAGGUAGGUAGGGGAGAUCGGAAUUCCUGGUGUAGCGGUGAAAUGCGCAGAUAUCAGGAGGAACACCGAUGGCGAAGGCAGGUCACUGGGCCGCAACUGACGCUGAGGAGCGAAAGCAUGGGGAGCGAACAGG